rnacentral:rRNA from 1 species
AUUGAACGCUGGCGGCAUGCCUUACACAUGCAAGUCGAACGGCAGCGGACCUUCGGGUGCCGGCGAGUGGCGAACGGGUGAGUAAUAUAUCGGAACGUACCUUUCAGUGGGGGAUAACGUAGCGAAAGUUACGCUAAUACUGCAUAUUCUGUGAGCAGGAAAGCAGGGGAUCGCAAGACCUUGCGCUGAUUGAGCGGCCGAUAUCAGAUUAGCUAGUUGGUGAGGUAAAGGCUCACCAAGGCGACGAUCUGUAGCGGGUCUGAGAGGAUGAUCCGCCACACUGGAACUGAGACACGGUCCAGACUCCUACGGGAGGCAGCAGUGGGGAAUUUUGGACAAUGGGCGCAAGCCUGAUCCAGCCAUGCCGCGUGAGUGAAGAAGGCCU